AUGCGAUACGUAAUGUGAAUUGCAGAUUUCAGUGAAUCAUCGAAUCUUUGAACGCACAUUGCGCCCGCUAGUAUUCUGGCGGGCAUGCCUGUUCGAGCGUCAUUUCAACCAUCAAGCCCCCGGCUUGCGUUGGAGCCCUGCGGCUGCCGCAGGCUCCCAAAUCCAGUGGCGGGCUCGUCGUCGUACCGAGUGCAGUAAACAUCCUCGCUCAGGGAACGCGUCGGGUUCUUGCCGUGAAACCCCCCCCACAUCAAGGUUGACCUCGGAUCAGGUAGGAAUACCCGCUGAACUUAA
rnacentral:misc_RNA from 1 species